CAACAGGGAUUGCCUUAGUAACUGCGAGUGAAGCGGCAAAAGCUCAAAUUUGAAAUCGGUGUCCUUCUCGGGCAUCGAGUUGUAAUUUGGAGGGAUAACUUCGGUACGGACUACAUCGUAAGUUCCUUGGAACAGGACGUCAUAGAGGGUGAGAAUCCCGUGUCUUGGUGUAUGGCCGUGCCAUGUGAAGUGUCUCCGACGAGUCGAGUUGUUUGGGAAUGCAGCUCCAAAUGGGUGGUAAAUUUCAUCUAAAGCUAAAUAUUGGCGAGAGACCGAUAGCGCACAAGUAGAGUGAUCGAUAGAUGAAAAGCACUUUGAAAAGAGAGUUAAAAAGUACGUG
rnacentral:rRNA from 1 species